AACCUGCGGUUGGAUCAUUA
rnacentral:rRNA from 2 species